UACGGGGGGUGCGAGCGUUGUCCGGAAUCACUGGGCGUAAAGGGCGCGUAGGUGGCUUUGUAAGUUUGCGGUGAAAGCCCGGGGCUCAACCCCCGGGUCUGCCGUGGAUACUGCAAGGCUUGAGUACUGUAGAGGCAGGUAGAAUAUCGGGUGUAGCGGUGGAAUGCGUAGAGAUCCGAUAGAAGACCGGUGGCGAAGGCGGCCUGCUGGGCAGUAACUGACACUGAGGCGCGACAGCGUGGGGAGCAAACAGG
rnacentral:rRNA from 1 species